rnacentral:misc_RNA from 1 species
GAUGAAGAACGUAGUGAAAUGCGAUACGUAAUGUGAAUUGCAGAAUUCAGUGAAUCAUCGAAUCUUUGAACGCAUAUUGCGCUCUCUGGUAUUCCGGAGAGCAUGCUUGUUUGAGUAUCAGUAAACACCUCAACUCCCCUUUCUUUUUUGAAAUGGGAGCUGGACUUGAGUGAUCCCAACGCUUUUCUCACCGAAAAGUGGCGGGUUACUUGAAAUGCAGGUGCAGCUGGACUUUUCUCUGAGCUAAAAGCAUAUCUAUUUAGUCUGCCUAAAAAACAGAUUAUUACCUUUGCUGCAGCUAACAUAAAGGAGAUUAGUUCUUGUGCUGACUGAUGCAGGAUUCACAGAGACAGCUUCGGCUGGCCUUUGUAAACUCGAUCUCAAAUCAAGUAAGACUACCCGCUGAACUUAAGCAUAUCAAUAAGCGGAGGA